GUGGGUCCCAUGGUAUAUUCCUAUGCUUCUUUGCUGUAAUCUCAUUUUGGGAUAUGGGAGGUGAGGCAUCUUUACACACUUUGCUUUUGGAACUGAGCAGAGAUGACCCAGGCAGUUACAGAGCUGGGCUGGAAGAGGAGCAACCAGGACUAGACUAUCCCACAUAGGAUGCUGGCGCUGCAGGUG